AGGAAAACAAGCUCAGGGCUCCCAUUGAUUCUACAUUAUGCACUUGCUACAGGGGAAGUGAACUGCUAUGUCCUGAGAUAACUGAGAGGUUGUGGAGAGUGACUCCAUGAGUCUGUGGAGAGGUCAAUAUGACAAAGAACUGAAGCUUGCCAAUAGCCAUUUGAGUGAGCUUGGAAGUGGACCUUUCCCCAGGCUGACUCAUGACUGAUGACUCCAGGGAAAAAUCAAGACACAGG
rnacentral:lncRNA from 1 species